UACGGAGGAUGCGAGCGUUAUCCGGAUUUAUUGGGUUUAAAGGGUGCGUAGGUGGUAGAUUAAGUCAGCGGUGAAAGUUUGUCGCUCAACGAUAAAAUUGCCGUUGAAACUGGUUUACUUGAGUAUAGUUGAAGUAGGCGGAAUGCGUGGUGUAGCGGUGAAAUGCUUAGAUAUCACGCAGAACUCCAAUUGCGAAGGCAGCUUACUAAGUUAUAACUGACACUGAAGCACGAAAGCGUGGGUAUCAAAC
rnacentral:rRNA from 1 species